AGUAGAAGACGUUUGAACACGUUAACGCAAUGAAGAAAAUACAAUUUGCAAAAGUUGCACCGCUUGGAGUGAAACCAUCUGAAAAUUAUGACAAGAAAGGGCCAUCGAUUCAGUCUGAGUGUCCCAAUGAUUUAUUUCGAGCUAAAAAAGGGUACCAACAAACAAAACUCUCGUUUCUUACUUCUGUGCCUCCUACGUUGUCAGGUGAAAGUCCGAAGUUCCUUAAGAAAGUAGCAGAUCCUCGUAGAAUUUCCCUGAACAAAACAUUGACAAAGUCGGAAGAUAUAGAAAAGGAGUUUUGUUCGGGUGAUUUUAAUACGAGUUGCUUUGAGAAAACCGAACAAGCCAGCUGUUGUAACAUAAAAGACGAUACCACCUGUAAUGACAAAAUAGAAGAACUAAUUAUAAGUAACCGAAUUCUAAAAUAUAGACUCAUUCAUUUACGAACCAAGCUUCGUAAACAACUGCGAAACAAUCGAGUAUAUCCAGCUUAAAAUAAGUUUCUAUUAAUUUAAUUUGAAGGUUCAUUUUAA